rnacentral:misc_RNA from 2 species
AACGCACAUUGCGCCCGCCAGCACUCUGGCGGGCAUGCCUGUUCGAGCGUCAUUUCAACCCUCGAGGCCCCCCCGGGGGCCCGGCGUUGGGGGCCGGCCCUGGCCGCCCCCGAAAUGCAGUGGCGACCUCGCCGCAGCCUCCCCUGCGUAGUAGCACACACCUCGCACCGGAGCGCGGAGACGGUCACGCCGUAAAACGCACCAGCUUUCAAGAGUUGACCUCGGAUCAGGUAGGAAUACCCGCUGAACUUAA